rnacentral:rRNA from 1 species
UACGUAGGGUGCGAGCGUUGUCCGGAAUUAUUGGGCGUAAAGAGCUCGUAGGCGGUGUGUCACGUCGGCCGUGAAAACCUGGGGCUUAACUCUGGGCGUGCGGUCGAUACGGGCAUCACUAGAGUUCGGCAGGGGAGACUGGAAUUCCUGGUGUAGCGGUGAAAUGCGCAGAUAUCAGGAGGAACACCGAUGGCGAAGGCAGAUCUCUGGGCCGUAACUGACGCUGAGGAGCGAAAGCAUGGGGAGCGAACAGG